GUCUAUGCCCAUACCACCCUGAACACGCCCGAUCUCAUCUGAUCUCGGAAGAAAUUGAGAGGGAAAGGGGUGAUAGAGAGGGAGAGAGAUAGAGACACACCCUCUGGCCUGCUUU
rnacentral:rRNA from 1 species